AUCGGCUGAUUUGAGAAUGCAUGAUUAUACAAGUCCGAAAAGAAAAAAAAUAAGGGGCAUAGGUGGUGGGGAUCGAAAGUGAAAGAAAGAAGAAUCUCAAAUCUCCUCCUGAACACGACACUCUUGACUCUGAGGAAUUUUACCCAAAAAAAAAAAAAUUCCCACAAACCGUCAUAUCUUUAGCUCUCUCUCCAAAUUGUUGUAGAAAAUUUGAAUUUGAAACUUAGGUGAGAGAGACCAGAGACAAAUUUGAUCCAUAUAUAUGCUGCAUUUGCAUUUUGAAGCAUAGAGAAGAGAAGCCCAGAAAACGAACCCACCAAAUUGAAUUCGAUGAUUUUGUUGCAGCCUCAUUCCAGAUUUCUCCUUCAAACCUUGUUGAAUCGGGUUCAGAAUCUCGAGAAGGCAGUUGAGCUUGAUUACCACUGGGUUGAGUUCGAUGAUGUUCGCUACCAUGUUCAGGUGUCGAUGAAGAACCCAAAUGUCCUGCUAUUAUCUGUCUCAUUACCCAUCCCUCCUCCGGAGACCGUUUUCUUGGGUGGACUUCCUUUUGGAGCCAUAGAAGCUAUAAAGGCUUCUUAUGGUGUGAUUGUGCAGAUUCUUGAUCCCCCAAGGGAUGGCUUUAAUCUCACUUUGAAACUCAAUUUGUCAAAACUUCCUCCAGAUGAAGAGUUCAGGCAUUCUCUUUUGGUAAAGAUUGCAUCUGUUAGGGAAGUAGUUCUAGGUGCCCCUUUAAGAUUAGUUCUAAAGCAUCUUGCUACAAGGACUGUUGCUCCUGAUAUGGAUCAGCUUCUUGCCCUUGUGCAUCGGCCAAAUGAGUCUUUUUUCCUUGUUCCACAGGCAGAAAAGGUUACUGUCGUAUACCCUAUGAGAUUCAAGGACUCUAUAGAUACUUCGCUUGCAACUUCCUUCCUUCAGGAAUUUGUGGAAGCAAGGCGUACAGCUGCACUUAAUAAUGCUCCUCCUUGUUUGUGGUCUCCUACUCCCCCUCAAGAAUUGAAGGAAGCUCCUGCUUAUGCACUCUCUGCAAAUGCAGGAUUUGUAUCUUUUGUCAUUUUUCCUCGCCAUGUAGAAGGCAAAAAGUUGGACCGUACAGUAUGGAAUUUAUCGACAUUUCAUGCAUAUGUUAAUUAUCAUGUUAAGUGCUCAGAAGGUUUCAUGCACACUCGCAUGCGACGUCGUGUGGAGUCUUUGAUUCAGGUAAAAUGUUCAUUUCUCCUAUCACUUGUACUGUACUAUGAUUUCUGUGCUCUCUCAAUUUGAUGUAUUUAUUGUAGCCUGCCUCAACAGGAGGGGGGUAAAACAAAGAAAGAUAACCAAAGGAAUCUGACAGGACAAACUAUUUUUCAUAUAAAAUGAAAUUUAAUGCAUUUUUCUUGGUAGUUUUAUUAUGCAUUCAAUCUUUAAUUGCCAUGUUGCUUGUAGGCUAUGUAAGAAUCUUUAGUUACCAUGUUGCUAGCAGGCUAUGUAAGAUUCAAACCUCAUAAUAAGGCUAGUUUCUGUCAGCUAUACUAAAACUGACAGCAAGACUAAGGGGGGCCUAUGGUAGGGUUUUGGAAGGUGGAGUAAAACAAUAUUGAUGCUGUUUUCCAAAUUAAGAAAAAAAAGGCAACACUCGUGUAGAUCACUGACAUUGUAGAGUGUGUUUUUAAUGGCCUUUUGUCUGUUUAUUGGUGUUCACUAAGGGUCUUAUGCCUAUAGGUAAUUCCAACUUGUACAGCCUAAAACUUGAACUUGCAACCUACAUGACCAUUUUCCUGUUUGUUGGUGAAGGAAUUGGGUCCUGCUCGCCCAGUGGGUCAACCCGCAUUCAUGUCUUCAUAAUUUAAAAAAGAAAAAAGGAAAAGGUGUUAAAAGUGCAUGCAGUUACAUUCAUGAAAGGAAACCAAAAUGGCCAAAUGGUCAAAAAGUUUUGCAUUCUUCUGUGAAAAUUCCUCUGAACAAACAAGAUUAAGCUAACACUAUUAGAAUUAUGUGGAAUUUGUAAUAUUUGGUUUUUGGUCCUCCAUUGAUAACUCUCAUACACUUUUUGUGGAGUAAUUACUUUCUGCAAUUCCAGGUGCAUUUAGACUAUGACUCUUUGAUAUAAUUCAUUAUUAAUAUGUGAUUACAUUGUUGACUAGUGAAACAUCUAUAUGGGUCCUAGGGUCAAAUCCAUUUGUUUAAUGUUUUCUUCAGUCGGGAACCGUUGUGGGCCAUCAUCAUAUGGUCAUAGCUAGGAUAAAGCCAUAUAGAUGGUGCCACUUAAGUGUAUGGCCGCAGUGAAUUUACUUUCUAAUUGUAGGCCAUUUCAGAAACUACCUUAAGAACCGCACAAGCACCGAGUAUUCUCAAGCUUAUGCUUAUUAUAGACUUGGUAUAUUACUAUUAUUCUCUUUCUUUGCAUAGUUGAGUUGGUCCUGAAAUUACUUCCAAGUAAUCUCAUUUGGUUACUUCAGAGUUCAGGGAGCCAUAAUACAUUGGCUAAUUUCUACAAAUACCCACUAAGAUAGCUUUCCCAGCUUAAGUAUUUGACCUGGAUAAGGGAACAGGUGAUGACAAAGUGCACUUGCUCUGUCACACUUUAAACAUCAAUUGUGGCAAUUGGCAAUUGAUGUCAAAGUUAUAGGACAAGAAUUUAGUCUCAUUGCUGUGCCACAUCGUGAAGUUGUUCUCUAGAUAAAAUUUAGUUGGUGAUGAAUUACCCCAUACGCAAUAUUUAAUGCAAGCAGUGACACUUAAUAGUAGGCUUACUCGUUUGCCAAAGACUGCAGGAGCUACAGAUAUUGCCACUUUGGACCAUGUAUGUUAUUUCGCAUUUGGUAUCCAAGUUUGAGCAUGUGCUUAAUAGACAAUUCAACUUGGCAUGCAUUGAGUAUAAAGGUGACAUGAGAUUUUAUGGUCUACACCUCAAUCCUGUAGCUUACAAUUGUACUCAUUGGAUCAGACCCUCCUUUGACCUAUCAAAUUAUUAAGUCUGCAAGUUGGGUUCACUGUUGGGUAGGAUGAGGCACGCAAAUAAGUAGUAUGUGGCAGAAUUAUUGGUUAAAGAAUAUGAUAAUGACCUGGCACUUUAUGCAUAGCUUGCCAGCUUAUUGGGAAGCAACUUUAGGACAAUAAACUUGCUUGAUGCUGCUGAUUACAGAUGACUAUGAUCUUCUAAUUUUUUUUCAAUUUUUUUUUUCUUAUUUGUGCUUGUUAGCUCUUAGUGAAAAGUGCAAGGCUUUAGCUAAUCUAUGCUUCAGAUAGAUUUUUUUUUUUUAAUAUAUAUAGAUUGUUUUCAAUGUACUUGUCACAUGGUUACAGCUAUUCAAUUAUUUCGAAGAAGGCUACUAUAAUCAAGCAUUUGAGUUCUAGUUUAUAUUAUCAGUUGCAACAUAGAAAAAAAAAAACUUGCAACUGGAUUGCAAAUACUAUAAAAAUAUAUUCAUGGUGCUGAGUCUCUUUAGUGCCAGAACAUCAAUUAGUUAUUGUUAAAACCAAGACCUCCAUUUUUCUCGAGCAUCAAUUGUUAAGUUUCAGCCAGAGUUGAGAUAUAUUUGUGUAUAGGUUGGUUUUAAUUAUCUAUCAGAGUAAGUUGUGAUAAACUUUCAUGCAUUGUUAGGUCUGUGAAUUGGAUAUUUCUGUUGUUGUGAAACUUAAAGACAUGACCUAUCCGAAUUUGCUUCAGAUAUUCUGUUUUUUCCACUAUAAUGGUCAGUCAUAUUAAUAUCUAAAUAUUGUUGCAAUAUACUUUUUAGGAAAAAGUCUUAUGUAGGGUUUGC
rnacentral:misc_RNA from 1 species